UCGGGAAUUUUGGGCAAUGGGCGAAAGCCUGACCCAGCAACGCCGCGUGAAGGAUGAAGUAUUUCGGUAUGUAAACUUCGAAAGAAUAGGAAGAAUAAAUGACGGUACUAUUUAUAAGGUCCGGCUAACUACGUGCCAGCAGCCGCGGUAAUACGUAGGGACCAAGCGUUGUUCGGAUUUACUGGGCGUAAAGGGCGCGUAGGCGGCAAUUCAAGUCAUCUGUGAAAUCUCCGGGCUUAACUCGGAACGGUCAGAUGAUACUGCUUUGCUAGAGUGCAGAAGGGGCAAUCGGAAUUCUUGGUGUAGCGGUGAAAUGCGUAGAUAUCAAGAGGAACACCUGAGGUGAAGACGGGUUGCUGGGCUGACACUGACGCUGAGGCGCGAAAGCCAGGGGAGCAAACGGGAUUAGAUACCCGUGUAGUCCCUGAGCGGGCUGGCAAGGCG
rnacentral:rRNA from 1 species